UUGUUUAAUUUACUUAAACUCCGACGCAAAGAUGCAGGGUUGGAAGGCCUCCGGGGGCGCUCGCCGCGAAACGGCAGGGUCGCCCCCGAAGCAACAAGUUGUGUUCACAGAGGGUGGGAGGUCGGGCCCGAGGGCCCUCACUCAGUAAUGAUCCCUCCGCAGGUUCACCUACGGAGA
rnacentral:misc_RNA from 1 species